CUUUUGCCUGUAUUGGCCAAUUUAGCCCCCAAAUAUUUGGAAUAUUUAGUCAUUUCUCCAGUUUUCUCCCUAAAUAGGGCUAUUUCUCUGCAAUAGAUGGGCAUUGUUUCUCUCUUCUUUAUGUCCUCUUUUACCCGAAAUGCAGGAGUAUUGCUCUGUGAGCCUGGAAACCUCUCUGGUCUGUGCUUGACUCCAGGCCAUGGCAUUGGCAGAGUUGAUGGAGCUUCUCAGCUGGAUCCUGGUUAUGAGCCUUGGGCUGUCCCAGAGGUGACUGAGGAAGAAGGAGAUCACAACAUGCCAUGGAAGCUCCUCCCCUGUGUUUGACUCCCUGUUUGGUUCCUGCAGUCCAUGGUGAUCAAGCCUCUUGGUGUAAUCCUGUUCCUGAGCCUGGGGGCAAUCCCAGGGCCGUCCCUGUAGGCAGCGGCUACUUGACUUCUUGACUUGAGUCUGUCCGUGAGCCUCGGGGCGAUCCCACAGUGAAGUUCUCAGUGUGCCAGAGCAUCUGGGAGACCUCUGACCCUUUCCUGGGCCUGGU